AUUGAACGCUGGCGGCAUGCUUUACACAUGCAAGUCGAACGGUAACAGGCCUUCGGGUGCUGACGAGUGGCGAACGGGUGAGUAAUGCAUCGGAACGUACCCAGAGGUGGGGGAUAACGCAGCGAAAGCUGUGCUAAUACCGCAUGUGAUCUGAGGAUGAAAGCGGGGGACCGAGCAGCAAUGUUUGGCCUCGCGCCUUUGGAGCGGCCGAUGUCGGAUUAGCUAGUUGGUGGGGUAAAGGCCUACCAAGGCGACGAUCCGUAGCUGGUCUGAGAGGACGACCAGCCACACUGGGACUGAGACACGGCCCAGACCCCUACGGGAGGCAGCAGUGGGGAAUUUUGGACAAUGGGCGCAAGCCUGAUCCAGCAAUGCCGCGUGCGGGAAGAAGGCUUUCGGGUUGUAAACCGCUUUUGGCAGGAACGAAACGGUGUCCGCUAAUACCGGGCGCUAAUGACGGUACCUGCAGAAUAAGCACCGGCUAACUACGUG
rnacentral:rRNA from 1 species